UACGUAGGGGGCUAGCGUUGUCCGGAUUUAUUGGGCGUAAAGAGCGUGUAGGCGGCUGGGUAGGUCCGCUGUGAAAACUCGAGGCUUAACCUCGAGACGUCGGUGGAAACCCUCCAGCUAGAGUCCGGAAGAGGAGAGUGGAAUUCCUGGUGUAGCGGUGAAAUGCGCAGAUAUCAGGAAGAACACCCGUGGCGAAAGCGGCUCUCUGGGACGGUACUGACGCUGAGACGCGAAAGCGUGGGGAGCGAACAGG
rnacentral:rRNA from 1 species